rnacentral:rRNA from 1 species
AUUGAACGCUGGCGGCAGGCCUAACACAUGCAAGUCGAGCGGAUGAAGGGAGCUUGCUCCUGGAUUCAGCGGCGGACGGGUGAGUAAUGCCUAGGAAUCUGCCUGGUAGUGGGGGAUAACGUCCGGAAACGGGCGCUGAUACCGCAUACGUCCUGAGGGAGAAAGUGGGGGAUCUUCGGAUCUCACGCUAUCAGAUGAGCCUAGGUCGGAUUAGCUAGUUGGUGGGGUAAAGGCCUACCAAGGCGACGAUCCGUAACUGGUCUGAGAGGAUGAUCGGUCACACUGGAACGGAGACACGGUCCAGACUCCUACGGGAGGCAGCAGUGGGGAAUAUUGGACGAUGGGCGAAAGCCUGAUCCAGCCAUGCCGCGUGUGUGAAGAAGGUCUUCGGAUUGUAAAGCACUUUAAGUUGGGAGGAAGGGCAGUAAGUUAAUACCUUGCUGUUUUGACGUUACCAACAGAAUAAGCACCGGCUAACUUCGUG